GCACCAUUAGCUCAGUUGGUAGAGCAGUAGACUCUUAAUCUAUUUGUCCAGGGUUCGAGUCCCUGAUGGUGUA
rnacentral:tRNA from 1 species